CGCACACUCCUCCCUCCUCCCCACUUCCUCUGCCCCCGCGCUCCGCUCUCCUCCCAUCCCCGGAGCGAUCCAGAGCCCAGCGGCAGCCAGGGGCUUGCCCGGUUGGUUCACGUGGCUCUCGGGGUGGAGCGGCUGGCGAAGCGCAGAGGGUGGGUGGAGACAACAAAGCCCAGCUGUCAGCGGCCAGGGAGAGGGAAAGCUGCGGCGGCGGCCCAGGAGGAGGCAGGUGAGUUCCAAAUUGCUGCAAGGAAUACUUCAUUCCGGCAACCAGAGAAAGUGCUUGGAUGCUCAAAUUGGGGAAUGGCGGUCAACGUGUAUUCUACCUCUAUAACCCAAGAGACUAUGAGCAGACAUGACAUCAUUGCUUGGGUUAAUGACAUAGUAGCUUUAAACUACACAAAAGUCGAACAGCUUUGUUCAGGAGCAGCUUACUGCCAGUUCAUGGACAUGUUGUUCCCAGGGUGCAUUAGCUUGAAGAAAGUAAAAUUUCAGGCAAAGCUGGAGCAUGAGUACAUUCACAAUUUCAAACUUCUGCAAGCAUCAUUUAAAAGAAUGAAUGUGGAUAAGGUGAUUCCAGUGGAGAAAUUGGUGAAAGGGCGCUUCCAAGACAACUUAGAUUUUAUCCAAUGGUUUAAGAAGUUCUUUGAUGCCAACUAUGACGGUAAAGAGUAUGAUCCUGUCAUGGCUCGACAAGGCCAAGAUGCUCUUCCCCCACCAGAUCCCGGUGAACAGAUCUUUAACUUACCAAAAAAGUCCCAUCAUGCAAACUCUCCCACUGCAGGUGCUGCUAAAUCCAGUCCAGUUUCUAAACCAGGGUCCACACCUUCUCGUCCAUCGUCAGCAAAAAAAGCCACACCAAGCAGCUCAGCGUCCAAAUCAGAUAAAGAUUUGGAAACACAGGUCAUACAACUCAGUGAACAGGUACAUACCAUUAAAACUUACACUCGAAGGUGUGGAGAAGGAAAGGGACUUCUACUUUGGAAAAUUAAGGGAGAUUGAACUUCUCUGCCAAGAACAUGGGCAAGAAAAUAAUGACCUUGUCCAAAGGCUAAUGGAAGUCCUUUAUGCUUCAGAAGAACAUGAGAGCCACGCAGAUGAGCAUGAAGGCGAGGAGCAGGUUCAUGAACAGCCCCAGCAGCAGGAAGAAUACUGACCUGUCCAACAUCUUUGACAGUUUUCAUUCUGUGUGGGAACUUUCUUCUGGAGAAAGGAACAUGUGUGGCCUCAAACUCGAAACCAGUCACUCCCAGUCUGCCAUUAACAUUUAUGUACCAUAGCGAGUGCCAGCAAACCACUGCAUUCUGUACCCAUAUUUUGCCAAGAUGCAUUUGCAGAAGUCUUCUUUCAAUGUGUCUACCUGAGAGAUCGUAGGGCUACAUCACCUACUGUACAUCACUGCAGCUUCACCACUUGGCUGCUUGAGAUUUGUUCUGCUUUUUAAAAAAUAUAUAUAUUUAUUUUUUCUUUUUGUCUUAAGUAUGAUACAUUUGUAAUUUGUUCUAAAAUGUUUAUAUUGGCAUCUCUUGUGGCAAGAAGUAUUGUACCACAGAUGUGUUUGUCACUUGGUGGUGCUUUGGUAUUUUCAAGUACAUCUGCCUUGGGACAUAAAUUUGGUCAAACAAUUGGAACAAAGGGAUACAUUAGAAGUGAUACUCAAGCUAUAAUGAGGAGGUGUGUGUUGUGGAGGGAAAAGGCUUAUGUGACCCAUAUCGUUCCUAUCCUGUAUUCACAAAACAGAAAGCAAAGCAACAGUUUCCCUAAUAAAGAUUUAAAACCCCCUGAGUGUUUUACACCAAAGCAUGUUAGAAAGCUGCAUGAUAUGUUUUUAUUUCUGGAAGAUACAUGUCUGCUUAACUGUUGGAAAGUCUUCUCAAUUUCCUGACUUUUCAACAGAAGCUCUACCUGCUGCUUUCUUUUGAAAGACCUGUAUUUAUUAGAAAUUCUGUCGCUGCCUCCAGCUCAGUGCUGAUUCAGAAGACAACAAUCUCCUCUCUCUUGCAGCUACAUCUGCAGAAUACCAUCUCUGAUCUUGUGUUCUGCCUGCCACCCCCUACAAAUGAGGAUCAAGUGGGUCAGCCAUUCCUUUUUCCUAUUGCUUCCUCUCCCCUUGGCCAUACACAUAUGGAAGAGGAAGACUUCCUUACUGGGGCUAGGCAUGUCCAAGGUUGAUUUCAGCAAGCCAGCUGCAGAACCAGUCCUGAAACUCUUAAGAGAUUCUCCUUUUAAACAUGAAAUUAUUUGAAUACUAAUUGAAGGAUAUUUUCCCCAUUGGUGCUUAGGCCAGUUUGCAUGCUUAGUGAACCAGCCAGAAGUCCUGUUAGAGGUAAAGAACACAUUAGCAGGGGAUCACCUGCAAGGGACAAAAACAGUUCUGUAGGCUGACUGACCUUACUACUGGAUAGGUUGGCCCAGUGCAGAACCAGAAUUUAGAGACUUCUGUGCCAGGUGUUCCUUCUUAAUUAGGGUCCUUGUUAUCCUGUUCUAAAUUAUGGCAUUUUAUAGGCAGAAAUAUAGCAUAAAAUACAUUUAAAAGCAUUCCUUAUUUUUUAAAAAAUCGUAAAAUUGCACAUUUUGGAUCUAUUUCUGCCUUUCUUUUACACUUGGUGUUCCUGGCUUCCAUCACGUUAUUUUUUAAUUCUAAAUUUAUGACUUUGGUUAUUUUUUGGCAGGCACAAGGAAAAGUCUCAUCCCAGGCUACCAUCACUGAAAAGCUCAAUAAAACCUUCUGAAUGGUGUAUCUUUUUAAAUCUUUAUGGAGUUGCUUUACUGAUUAAGCUCCAGUACUAAAUUUAUACUGAAGCAGAAGGUUUUUUAAUUAAAAAAAAUAAUCUUCAAUUCUCAAAUCUUUUGCAGCAAAGUUAAUCUACUUUCGUUAAAUGUGAGCAAUUACUCCUACUGAGUUUCAUACCACAGCCAGUACAUAAAAUACCUUUAAACAUUAGAACAGGUGUUUCCAUUUCCUCAAUUGCUCCCUCAGCUCAGCAGCAUAGUAUCCAGUCCCUGUGGGUUGAAAGAGUUUUCUGGCCCUGACCCCAGCAUUGACCUCACUUCCUAUCCAGUAAUAGGUAGUGAAAGAGCUGUACCCUGCAAUGUAGCACUUUCAUUGCUAUUUUUAGCUUAAUUGAUUUGCUUGGUUUCAAUUAAAAUCCUAUACAUAAAGUGAAUUAAAAAGUGAGGAGUUUUUUUUAUAAGGAUAUACAAUAUAUUCCCAUGAUCCACCAUAGAAGAUCCAGGAUAUUUUCUGUCUGAAGUAUCAGCAUUUAGGGCCUAGUUCUUAAUUUUCUCUCCACAAUUUCCAUUAGCAUCUGCAGAAGUUCUGGUGGUGCAAGGAAUUCAGGAUCAGACCCUACCCUGCUGCUGGCAUCAGCACCAGAUUGUGAUCCCUGAUACAAUUCCAUCAUCUUUCAAUUUAUCGGCAAGCAGACACUGGAGAGCACUUCCUUAAAAAGUGCUUUUGCGAGGCUCCACAAUGGUUAGAUUUUUCUGCUUGCGAGGUGGUUCUUGACAAGGCUACUCUGCCCUACCCCUUUCAGCUAUAAGUAUAAAAAAGCCAACCAGUCCUUUCCUCCCUUUCUUCUUACUCUGCCUUGUAAUUGGUCCGUGGAGUAUAACCCUUUCACUGCUUUGCAUCAGGCAGGAAGUGAUUGAUGUAGGGCACAGGAAUGGUAGUUACCUUCCCAAGCCAGAGAGCCUCAAAUGUGCUGAGGAGUGAUACUCUGGAAGGGGAUAGAGUUGUCCUCCCACCCGGGUGAGUAACACCAUUAUUCCGUUAUGGUUUUAAUAUGCAUUUGUAAUUACUUUUACUAAAUAGCACACCAUAAAGCUUUGGUUAUAUAUUAAAUGUAAACUGAAAGGAAUGUAAACAUAUGUAUUGUUAAUUAUAAAUAGAUAAGUAAUGACAUCAUAGAUGCAAAAAGUCUUAUUCAGAUGUAUCAGUCAUUUUACAUUACCCACAAAUUGUUGCAUGGUAGACUAGAUUUUUUUUUCUGUCUCUGAGUAUGUGAAUAACUUGACUUGCGUUUAUCUUUUUACAUAUUUAAUAAAAAAAGUAUAUGUUAAAAUCUGUGUAGCUCUAGAAACUAUUCCAAACCAUUUAAAGUGGUAGUUUUCUAUUUAUAUAUUAAACUGUUUCAUUAUUAAUUGCAAAUGUGAGCAAGGAAAAAAAGCCAAAUGGUUUAAAAGAAAAUGUGGUUCAUAAUGUAUGUAGAAAUUUCUUUUCAGGAGCCCAACAACUGUAUCACCCUUCCACAAAUCUCAGGACGAGAUGAAUGAAAAUAUUAAAAAAUAAAAUAAGAUGCAGAUUA